rnacentral:rRNA from 1 species
GGAUCCAGACUUUGAUUAUGGCUCAGGAUGAACGCUAGCUACAGGCUUAACACAUGCAAGUCGAGGGGAAACGACAUCGAAAGCUUGCUUUUGAUGGGCGUCGACCGGCGCACGGGUGAGUAACGCGUAUCCAACCUGCCCAUCACUUGGGGAUAACCUUGCGAAAGUAAGACUAAUACCCAAUGACGUCUCUAGAAGACAUCUGAAAGAGAUUAAAGAUUUAUCGGUGAUGGAUGGGGAUGCGUCUGAUUAGCUUGUUGGCGGGGUAACGGCCCACCAAGGCAACGAUCAGUAGGGGUUCUGAGAGGAAGGUCCCCCACAUUGGAACUGAGACACGGUCCAAACUCCUACGGGAGGCAGCAGUGAGGAAUAUUGGUCAAUGGGCGAGAGCCUGAACCAGCCAAGUAGCGUGCAGGAUGACGGCCCUAUGGGUUGUAAACUGCUUUUAUAAGGGAAUAAAGUGAGUCUCGUGAGACUUUUUGCAUGUACCUUAUGAAUAAGGACCGGCUAAUUCCGUGCCAGCAGCCGCGGUAAUACGGAAGGUCCGGGCGUUAUCCGGAUUUAUUGGGUUUAAAGGGAGCGUAGGCCGGAGAUUAAGCGUGUUGUGAAAUGUAGACGCUCAACGUCUGCACUGCAGCGCGAACUGGUUUCCUUGAGUACGCACAAAGUGGGCGGAAUUCGUGGUGUAGCGGUGAAAUGCUUAGAUAUCACGAAGAACUCCGAUUGCGAAGGCAGCUCACUGGAGCGCAACUGACGCUGAAGCUCGAAAGUGCGGGUAUCGAACAGGAUUAGAUACCCUGGUAGUCCGCACGGUAAACGAUGGAUGCCCGCUGUUGGUCUGAAUAGGUCAGCGGCCAAGCGAAAGCAUUGAGCAUCCCACCUGGGGAGUACGCCGGCAACGGUGCAACUCAAAUGAAUUGACGG